UAUAAGGUUUAACCUGCCCAAUGAGUAUUUAAAUGGCCGCGGUAUUUUGACCGUGCAAAGGUAGCAUAAUAAUUAGUUUUUUAAUUGAAAGCUGGAAUGAAUGGUUGGACGAGAAAAUAACUGUCUUAAGUUGGUUGUUAUUAUAAUUUUAUUUUUAAGUGAAAAAGCUUAGAUUUUUUUAAAAGACGAGAAGACCCUAUAGAGUUUUAUAUAAUUAUAAUAUUUAAAUGUUUCAGAAUUUUAUAAUUUUUAUAUUUGAUUGUAUUUUAUUGGGGUGAUAAAAAAAUUAAUAAAACUUUUUUUUAAUAAGGUCAUUUAUUUAUGAGUUAUUGAUCCAUUUUUUAUGAUUAAAAGAUUAAGUUACCUUAGGGAUAACAGCGUAAUUUUUCUUUAGAGUUCUAAUCGAAAGAAGAGAUUGCGACCUCGAUGUUGGAUUAAAAUUAAUAUUUGGUGUAGAGGCUAUAUUAUUAGGUCUGUUCGACCUUUAAAAUUUUACA
rnacentral:rRNA from 1 species